rnacentral:rRNA from 1 species
GCGGCAGGCUAACACAUGCAAGUCGAGCGGAAACGAGUUAUCUGAACCUUCGGGGGACGAUAACGGCGUCGAGCGGCGGACGGGUGAGUAAUGCCUAGGAAAUUGCCCUGAUGUGGGGGAUAACCAUUGGAAACGAUGGCUAAUACCGCAUAAUGCCUACGGGCCAAAGAGGGGGACCUUCGGGCCUCUCGCGUCAGGAUAUGCCUAGGUGGGAUUAGCUAGUUGGUGAGGUAAUGGCUCACCAAGGCGACGAUCCCUAGCUGGUCUGAGAGGAUGAUCAGCCACACUGGAACUGAGACACGGUCCAGACUCCUACGGGAGGCAGCAGUGGGGAAUAUUGCACAAUGGGCGCAAGCCUGAUGCAGCCAUGCCGCGUGUGUGAAGAAGGCCUUCGGGUUGUAAAGCACUUUCAGUCGUGAGGAAGGUGGUAUAGUUAAUAGCAGCAUUAUUUGACGUUAGCGACAGAAGAAGCACCGGCUAACUCCGUGCCAGCAGCCGCGGUAAUACGGAGGGUGCGAGCGUUAAUCGGAAUUACUGGGCGUAAAGCGCAUGCAGGUGGUUUGUUAAGUCAGAUGUGAAAGCCCGGGGCUCAACCUCGGAAUAGCAUUUGAAACUGGCAGACUAGAGUACUGUAGAGGGGGGUAGAAUUUCAGGUGUAGCGGUGAAAUGCGUAGAGAUCUGAAGGAAUACCGGUGGCGAAGGCGGCCCCCUGGACAGAUACUGACACUCAGAUGCGAAAGCGUGGGGAGCAAACAGGAUUAGAUACCCUGGUAGUCCACGCCGUAAACGAUGUCUACUUGGAGGUUGUGGCCUUGAGCCGUGGCUUUCGGAGCUAACGCGUUAAGUAGACCGCCUGGGGAGUACGGUCGCAAGAUUAAAACUCAAAUGAAUUGACGGGGGCCCGCACAAGCGGUGGAGCAUGUGGUUUAAUUCGAUGCAACGCGAAGAACCUUACCUACUCUUGACAUCCAGAGAACUUUCCAGAGAUGGAUUGGUGCCUUCGGGAACUCUGAGACAGGUGCUGCAUGGCUGUCGUCAGCUCGUGUUGUGAAAUGUUGGGUUAAGUCCCGCAACGAGCGCAACCCUUAUCCUUGUUUGCCAGCGAGUAAUGUCGGGAACUCCAGGGAGACUGCCGGUGAUAAACCGGAGGAAGGUGGGGACGACGUCAAGUCAUCAUGGCCCUUACGAGUAGGGCUACACACGUGCUACAAUGGCGCAUACAGAGGGCAGCAAGCUAGCGAUAGUGAGCGAAUCCCAAAAAGUGCGUCGUAGUCCGGAUUGGAGUCUGCAACUCGACUCCAUGAAGUCGGAAUCGCUAGUAAUCGUGGAUCAGAAUGCCACGGUGAAUACGUUCCCGGGCCUUGUACACACCGCCCGUCACACCAUGGGAGUGGGCUGCAAAAGAAGUAGGUAGUUUAACCUUCGGGAGG